AUACUUACCUGGACGGGGUCUAUGGGCGAUCAAGAAGGCUCAUGGCCUAGACCCGCGGCUCCCAUUGCACCUGGGGAGUGCGCUGGCCUACCAUCUCCCCAAGUGGGAGAGUGGACGUCAUAAUUUGUGGUAGAGGGGGUACGCGCACGCGCGGCCCCUG
rnacentral:snRNA from 1 species